CCGGUACGUUUACUUUGAACAAAUUAGAGUGCUUAAAGCAGGCUAUCCUCGCCUGAAUACUGCGUGCAUGGAAUAAUGGAAUAGGACCUCGGUUCUAUUUUGUUGGUUUUCGGAACCCCGAGGUAAUGAUUAAUAGGGACAGAUGGGGGCAUUCGUAUUGCGACGUUAGAGGUGAAAUUCUUGGAUCGUC
rnacentral:ncRNA from 1 species